UACGUAGGGGGCAAGCGUUGUCCGGAUUUAUUGGGCGUAAAGAGCGUGUAGGCGGCCAGGUAGGUCAGCUGUGAAAACUCGAGGCUCAACCUCGAGACGUCGGUUGAAACCACCUGGCUAGAGUCCGGAAGAGGAGAGUGGAAUUCCUGGUGUAGCGGUGAAAUGCGCAGAUAUCUGGAGGAACACCGGUGGCGAAGGCGGCAUCCUGGACCGGUAUUGACGCUGAGGCGCGAAAGCCAGGGGAGCAAACGGG
rnacentral:rRNA from 1 species